AGUGAACGCUGGCGGUAGGCCUAACACAUGCAAGUCGAACGGCAGCACAGUAAGAUCUUGCUCUUACGGGUGGCGAGUGGCGGACGGGUGAGGAAUACAUCGGAAUCUACUUUUUCGUGGGGGAUAACGUAGGGAAACUUACGCUAAUACCGCAUACGACCUACGGGUGAAAGCAGGGGAUCUUCGGACCUUGCGCGAUUGAAUGAGCCGAUGUCGGAGUAGCUAGUUGGCGGGGUAAAGGCCCACCAAGGCGACGAUCCGUAGCUGGUCUGAGAGGAUGAUCAACCACACUGGAACUGAGACACGGUCCAGACUCCUACGGGAGGCAGCAGUGGGGAAUAUUGGACAAUGGGCGCAAGCCUGAUCCAGCCAUACCGCGUGGGUGAAGAAGGCCUUCGGGUUGUAAAGCCCUUUUGUUGGGAAAGAAAAGCAGCAGGUUAAUACCCCGCUGUUCUGACGGUACCCAAAGAAUAAGCACCGGCUAACUUCGUG
rnacentral:rRNA from 1 species